rnacentral:rRNA from 1 species
GAUGAACGCUGGCGGCGUGCCUAAUACAUGCAAGUCGAGCGAACAGAUGAGGAGCUUGCUCCUCUGACGUUAGCGGCGGACGGGUGAGUAACACGUGGAUAACCUACCUAUAAGACUGGGAUAACUUCGGGAAACCGGAGCUAAUACCGGAUAAUAUAUUGAACCGCAUGGUUCAAUAGUGAAAGACGGUUUUGCUGUCACUAAUAGAUGGAUCCGCGCCGCAUUAGCUAGUUGGUAAGGUAACGGCUUACCAAGGCAACGAUGCGUAGCCGACCUGAGAGGGUGAUCGGCCGCACGGGAGCUGGGACGCGGACCAGGCUCCUGCGGGAGGCAGCAGUAGGGAAUCGGCCGCAGUGGGCGAAAGCCUGACGGAGCAAGGCCGCGUGAGUGAUGAAGGUCCUCGGAUCGUAAAACUCGGUUAUUGGGGAAGAACAGAUGUGUAAGUAACUAUGCACGUCUUGACGGUACCUAAUCAGGAAGCCACGGCUAACUACGUG